GCCAUCUUGUCCGCGGAUGGCAGACGUGUUUCUUGCCGCCGCUGCUGCUCCUCUUCCUCGCCUCCUCUGCGACGCUUCCUCCUCUUCUCUUCUCCCACUCUAGUCAUGGCGGUGGCGGCCGGGCCAGGCGGCGGCGGCGGCCGGAAACGGAGAAGCGGGCGGGCUGGGAGAGCGUCCUCGUCGCCUUCAACCUCCCCACGCGAGAGAGGAAAAAGUAGGGACGGUGAAGCCUUGGGUUACAUGACAAAUGCAAAAAACUUUUCAAACAGGUGUGCCUGCAAUGGAACAUUGGAUUUCAGCAAUAUUAUUGGUUCUGCAUACAAGGAUACUACCAAAUGGAGUUGAAAUUGCAGCUGCGUUAAGUUUGGUGACAUUUGCAAAGGAUUGGUUGAAAGAACAGAGUCACAAUACAGGAAAACGGUUAUGCUGUUGUGGGCUGGUCAAGCAGUGACCGGGCCCUGGUGGACUGCAACUUGCCCAAACCAUACCCUGAUCCGCAACUCUACUUUUCUCUUCAAUUUUUGCUCCUGGUGUGCUUUGGAAUGUGGUCGCCUAGCGCAGCUUGCCCCCUUAGAGCCUAGCAUAAUUUGUAUUGGAGCAGACUUUAAUUAAUUAGAUGUGUGAUGUGUCUGUUUACAAAAUAUUUGUUGUUUCUUUGCAAGUUUAUCAUGUUCCAGGGGCUACACAUGCCUUGAUAAUAGCACCACAAAUGUCCAGGUUCAUAUGCAGUUUUAUUUUAGGCAUAAUAGCAACCUUAUUUUAUAGGUGAAGGUAAAAGAGCUUCCUGCUCAGGCCUGACUAGCCAUUUUGUGAUCUCUGUAAUAUGAUAUGAUUGUUGUUUUGAAGUUGGUUACGUUAGUCCCCUAUUUAUUUUGAAGGAUCCUUCGUCCGUCUGAUCAUUUUUGCGUCUUCACAGGUUGUUCUCCUGUUUUUGACUGCAUCCUUGCACCGUCGUUACAAGCGAUUUCCCUUCACUACAGCCCCUUUCAUGUCGUCGUUACAAGAGAUUUCACAGUUUCCCCUUGUUACCAUGUUCUUCAGUUAAAAUGCAGUUGUAGUGCUCCAAAGGCUAAACCUUGAAAUCAAAUGUAAUUUUGAAGCCAUUCUUGAUUAUUUUGCCAGCUGCGGUACAUGAUCAGAACUAAGGCGACAAUGGCCAGACUAUGUCUGGUGCAUAGAUUUAAUUGAUACAUUGCCAGUUUGGACAACACCUUCAAACAUUAUCUCGGAAAGAGUUCAUCUGCACAACAAGACUUGGAUGGAAAGGCCUUUCUGCCCCAGCACAACAUAACUCCUGGGGUCAUAUUCGGCCUCCCAAGGUCCUACUAGGGUUGUUCUUUCUAAGGGUGAAGCAUUGCCAGUUGUGCCAAUGCCGGGCAAAAGGAAUAGCUCUCUUGAAGGACAAAAUGCUGUAACUCUCUUCAUAUACAAGAUAGAAGUUAUGACUUCAAUUCCGGUGAUAGAAAUAGCCAGAUGGAUCACGAAAACAUUGUGAAGAUGGUGAGAUAUUGCAAGGAGUCUGAUCCGUUCUGAGGAAUGCUUGUCUUUGAGUACCAGCCAAAUGGGACCCUCUACGGCAGCCAGAAUAACAACCUCAGUGAAGAAUGGGUGACCAAACUACUGCUUUGUCAACAUAAAACUCUGCUCAAUGGAGUUACCCUGCUGCCAGUGAAUCUGUAGAUAGUUCCAUAUCCUGAUGCUAAAGUUGCAGCCAAAAAAGAGAUGCAUCCAAUCCUCAGUGCACCUUGUGGGACACAACACACAGUGAAAGACAUUCUCCAAAGAAAAAACACGCACAUUGAAAGACAUCAGUGACAUUCCAGUGUCUUCUGCGAAGCAUGUCUCUGGUAUUUAGUCUAUCACUGAAAAGCAGCCAAGCAUGGUAUUUUCAAUUUAAAUCAUGAAGUGUGUUUUGUCACGGAUGUGAUACUCCGUGCUGCAAUCAUUCUUGCCACGAAGGAAUUCGUAGAGAUUACCACCUUUGAGAAGGUUAAAGAUACAAUAUGUUCUCCUCGAGUAAAAUUAGUUUUGCGCAUUCUGAAAUAGAAGUUAUGUCUUGCAACUUCUGGUCACUGCUCUUUGCUAUAAGAAUCAUUGGUUGUUCAGGUAAAAAAAAAAGAAUCAUUGGUUGUAACGAGAAUUCAUAGGGCAUAUUGUGGUGUUUAAAAUCUGAAUAGUCAGUUGCUCUUUUA